rnacentral:lncRNA from 1 species
GUCCACCAAGGAGAUCAUCAAACUCUCUCUCUUCACUUUCAAAUGGUGAUCUACUCAUCUUUCAAGAAAAGAUGCAAGUGUUUCUAGAUGAUUUGGUCAUUCCUCUAAUGCACCUAAUCCUCCCCUCUUCGUUAAAGGAAAUGAGAACUUGAUUUGAAGCAUUCGCCAGCUGGUGACAAGAUGAAUCUAACAAGAGACACACAGAAAAGACCAAGAAGAUAAAUUAAGUCAUAGUAAUUGAUGGGAUCUAAGGGGCAAUCAGUGUACUUCUCUUCCAUUGAAACACAGUGGAGCCAAGGCAUCUCUGAAUGUUGAAAAGUUCUUUGUUGCUAUUCUUGAGUCGGGGUAGCCUACUGUCCUUCUGUGAUGCCAGCUAAAUGAUUAAGAUUUCUCCUUCUUUAUCUAAAUAGUCUCACUUUUUUGUAAAUCUCUCAUUUCUCAAAUUAAACCAAGC